rnacentral:rRNA from 1 species
UACGUAGGGGGGCUAGCGUUGUCCGGAAUCAUUGGGCGUAAAGCGCGUGUAGGCGGUUCGGUAAGUCCGCUGUGAAAGUCGGGGGGCUCAACCCUCGGAUGCCGGUGGAUACUGUCGAGCUUGAGUACGGAAGAGGCGAGUGGAAUUCCUGGUGUAGCGGUGAAAUGCGUAGAGAUCGGGAGGAACACCUAUUGCGAAGGCAGCUCGCUGGGACGUUACUGACGCUGAGACGCGAAAGCGUGGGGGAGCAAACAGG